rnacentral:rRNA from 1 species
AGAGUUUGAUCAUGGCUCAGGAUGAACGCUGGCGGUAUGCUUUACACAUGCAAGUCGUACGAGAGUUUUUAACUCAAGUGGCGGACGGGUGAGUAACACGUAAGAAUUUGCCUUUAGGAGGGGGACAACAACUGGAAACGGUUGCUAAUACCCCAUAUGCUUUCGAGUGAAACGGUUUUUCCGCCUAAAGAGAAGCUUGCGGCUGAUUAGCUUGUUGGUGAGGUAAUGGCUCACCAAGGCGACGAUCAGUAUCUGGUUUGAGAGGACGAUCAGACACACUGGAACUGAGACACGGUCCAGACUCCUACGGGAGGCAGCAGUGGGGAAUUUUCCGCAAUGGGCGAAAGCCUGACGGAGCAAUACCGCGUGAGGGAUGACGGCCUAUGGGUUGUAAACCUCUUUUUUCAGGGAGGAAUCAAUGACGUGUACCUGAGGAAUAAGCAUCGGCUAACUCCGUGCCAGCAGCCGCGGUAAGACGGAGGAUGCAAGUGUUAUCCGGAAUCACUGGGCGUAAAGCGUCUGUAGGUGGUCAAAUAAGUCAACUGUUAAAUCUUGAGGCUCAACCUCAAAAUCGCAGUCGAAACUAUUCGACUAGAGUAUAGUAGGGGUAAAGGGAAUUUCCAGUGGAGCGGUGAAAUGCGUAGAGAUUGGAAAGAACACCGAUGGCGAAGGCACUUUACUGGGCUAUUACUAACACUGAGAGAC